rnacentral:rRNA from 1 species
UACGAAGGGGGCUAGCGUUGUUCGGAAUUACUGGGCGUAAAGCGCACGUAGGCGGGUUUGUAGGUAGGGGGUGAAAUCCCAGGGCUCAACCCUGGAACUGCCUUCUAAACUGCAAGCCUGGAGGUCAGGAGAGGCGAGUGGAAUACCGAGUGUAGAGGUGAAAUUCGUAGAUAUUCGGUGGAACACCAGUGGCGAAGGCGACUCGCUGGACUGAUACUGACGCUGGAGGUGACGAAAGCCGUGGGGAGCAAACAGG